CAGAUACAUGUGACACAGCCUCAUGUGGUAGAAAAUCCUCAUUACCUUCCAUGGAAGAAAAAAGACACAGUUAAUUUCACCGACUGCUGGAUCAGAGGAAACAGUUAUUUCCCUAGAAGCCCAUCAUACAACUGUUCCUAUUUCCUCCUGUCAUGGAGAAGAAUAUAAAACGAAGAAGCACAUGAUACUAAAGCUUUCUACAUACAUCUUAAGGAUCUCUCUUAAAGAAUUGCUGUAGGACUAAUACUGAUUAUAAUUUGUCUUAAGCAUAAUGUGGUGAAACAGAGGAAAAGAAGUUGCCCAUCUUUGUGCCAACU
rnacentral:lncRNA from 1 species